UACAGAGGGGGCAAGCGUUGUCCGGAUUUACUGGGCGUAAAGGGCGCGUAGGCGGCGUGACAAGUCACUUGUGAAAUCUCCGGGCUUAACCCGGAGCGGCCAAGUGAUACUGUCGUGCUAGAGUGCGGAAGGGGCUACUGGAAUUCUCGGUGUAGCGGUGAAAUGCGUAGAUAUCGAGAGGAACACCUGCGGCGAAGGCGGGUAGCUGGGCCGACACUGACGCUGAGGAGCGAAAGCGUGGGGAGCGAACAGG
rnacentral:rRNA from 1 species